CGAGAUCCAAUGUGUAGCAAUACACAGGAAGAUCUAGUGGCGAACGGGUGAGGAACACGUGAGAAACGUACCCCAGACUUUGGGAUAACAGUUCGAAAGGACUGCUAAUACCAAAUAACGUCGGAAGUCCGCAUGGACAUCUGACGAAAGGGAUUCCGGUUUGGGAGCGUCUCGCGGACCUAUCAGCUAGUUGGAGGGGUAACGGCCCACCAAGGCAACGACGGGUAGCUGGUCUGAGAGGAUGGUCAGCCACACUGGGACUGAGACACGGCCCAGACUCCUACGGGAGGCAGCAGUGGGGAAUCUUGCGCAAUGGGCGAAAGCCUGACGCAGCAACGCCGCGUGCGGGAAGAAGGCUUUCGGGCUGUAAACCGCUUUCAGUAGGAACGAAACUGACGGUACCUACAGAAGAAGGAGCGGCCAACUAUGUGCCAGCAGCCGCGGUGACACAUAGGCUCCAAGCGUUGUCCGGAUUUAUUGGGCGUAAAGAGCUCGUAGGCGGUCGAGUAAGUCGGGUGUGAAAACUUUGGGCUUAACCCAAAGAUGCCACUCGAUACUGUUCGACUUGAGUUUGGUAGGGGAGUGGGGAAUUCCUUGUGUAGCGGUGAAAUGCGCAGAUAUAAGGAGGAAC
rnacentral:rRNA from 1 species